GCUGCAAGACCGUCAGCAGGAGCCAGCAUGGGAAGCACUCGACGUAUCGACACGUGUGCUCUCAUCCAGGACGUGAACAUCGUUGAACUAUAUGGGACAAACUGGCCAGCAAGAUUUUUAUCACAAGGGUUGUGUGCAUAAACCAACCUAAAAGAAUGAUCGAUGUUUUGGAUUCUUUUUAAUCGCAAUAAACAGCCUUUCUUGGUGUCUU